rnacentral:rRNA from 1 species
AGCAAUCUACCUUGGAGUGGGGGAAUAACACAGUGAAAACUGUGCUAAUACCGCAUAAUACAACUGUGUCGCAUGGCAGUGGUUGUCAAAGAUUUAUCGCUCUGAGAUGAGCUCGCGUCUGAUUAGCUAGUAGGCGGGGUAAAGGCCCACCUAGGCGACGAUCAGUAGCCGGACUGAGAGGUUGGCCGGCCACAUUGGGACUGAGACACGGCCCAGACUCCUACGGAAGGCAGCAG